rnacentral:rRNA from 1 species
CAGCAGCCGCGGUAAUACGUAGGUGGCAAGCGUUGUCCGGAAUUAUUGGGCGUAAAGGGCUCGCAGGCGGUUUCUUAAGUCUGAUGUGAAAGCCCCCGGCUCAACCGGGGAGGGUCAUUGGAAACUGGGAAACUUGAGUGCAGAAGAGGAGAGUGGAAUUCCACGCGUAGCGGUGAAAUGCGCAGGGAUGUGGAGGAACACCAGUGGCGAAGGCGACUCUCUGGUCUGUAACUGACGCUGAGGAGCGAAAGCGUGGGGAGCGAACAGGAUUAGAUACCCCCGUAGUCCCUGUCUCUUAUAC